rnacentral:misc_RNA from 1 species
CCCCCCUCCUGAGAGACCUGAGGAUUAAAUCUGAUCCCCUCACACAGUCAGAGGAGUGCGAGUGAUAGAAUAUGUCUGAAUGGAAACUGUAGGCAUAUUAUUAACAAAACUGAUUAAACAUAAGCCGUAUGCAGGAUUUAUUGUUUGUGCAAUCCAAACUUCGACUUUCUUUAAUAUUUAACAUUAUGUACAAAUUGAUAAAAAUGAUAAAUCAGUGAAAAUAUUGUAUUUAUAUGAUCUUGAUAGCAUUUGUAUUUAAGUACUUUGUACAUAAAAUAUUUUCUAAAUAAAUAUAAGUUAUAAUGAGAAGUUAAUAGAACUGUACUUAUAACAUGACACAUCAGGUAUGGAAUUAAAGUACAGCGAAUGUAC